CAGGGACUCUUCUGGGGGCGUGACACAAAAUGCAGUAAUCACAAGCAAUAAAUGCAAUCCAUGCAUAUGAUGCAAAUGACAUAGUCACCCCUGACGUCAGUCAGCCACUUCACACACGAUGGUGAGGUCGAGUAGGUAGGGCUAUGAUAACUGUGCACUCUAUCACCACUACCUCUGAGUGACCGAGUGGGCAGGAUGUUGUCAGAAUACAUCUAUCCUCCUACCCCAAACAUAGGGGGAGAGCCUAAGCUCUCAUCUCCCAAGUCUAUAAAUUCAUCUCCUCAAAUAUGUCAUACGAGUUUCGAAAAAUUUCCAAAAAAUUUCUAAAAAUUCUGUUAAAAUUAUUCGUCCAUUAAACCUUAUUAUUAUUUUGUUACAGUAUUUUACACCUGUAGCGCGUGUGCACGCUUUCCAAGAUAAGCACACUUCCCAAAAUUUUUCCUGAAAAGAUUUGUCAGUAAAAUGUCCCUGACACAGUACCUUAACAGGCCGAGCAUAUAUCUGAAGUGAUAGUGAAAGCUUCCGUCGUACAAUCUUCUGGUUGUCUAUGCCCGAUGUCAGCAGCACUAACUCCCAAAAGGAUGUCGAUAGAAAAUAGAGGGAGUAUGCUGCUAAGCCGAGCGGGUUGGCCGUUUGACCGGAAAUUCGCUGCUCCUAUGUCUUGUCCGCUCAGCCGAAACUUCGCUACUCCUGUGCAUGUGUCAGCUCGGUCAUAACUCCGCUGUUUUUGUGUCUCGUUCGGUCGGCAGAGCUCCACUGUGCCAAUACCGAGCCCUAUCACAAGGCUGAGUGGGGUAGCUGCUCGACCCGGCUUCUGCACAUCGUCUCCUCUUCCAUCCGGGGUCCACUACUCCCUUGAGCGUCGGUCAUUUGACAAUUCCCCGUGUCAAAGACAGGAUCGGAUCAGAACAUUCUCCCUCGGUCGGGGCAUGCUCGCUCGACCGGACGAUGAUAUCUGAGCGUUGACCACCUUAACUUUGACCUCCACCGUGACAGCUCUCCUCCGCAGGGUGGGGCCCCUCCUUAUUACCGCAUCACAUGUCUCCCCCUCAAGUCUAGUCAAAGGAGGUUGCAAGUCCAAUUGACUGGACAAAAUUAUCUGGGAAGCUUUUGACCCAAUCGGCUUCGACACUCCUUGGUUUCUGAUCGGACUAAUGUAGCGCAACGGUUGGCUAUGUGAUUGUUCUUUGCCGGUCGACCUAUUGAAGAUUAUCGUUUGGCCUUAGGUCUACUCCCUUAAGCCGAUCGGCACAACGAAUAUUCAUACUUGGAAAUCUUUUGGGCUUCUUUGGGUGAGCACGAUCCAGGCUUACAUCACUCAUAUUUCUGGGGAAUCGUGCAAAUCCCUGCGCAUUAUGGUUGAGCGCGCCCCUCGUGCCUUUUAUUUGUCCUCAUUAAAUGUCGGCCCGUGGCGAGGAGCCACGUGUCUCGCUCGCUGCUGCCGCACGCCUGAAGUGACAGGCGAAUAUCCGUUGGCGGUGUGACCUUUGGCACUUCAAAUUCAAUGGCCCAAUUUUUGCUUAGGUUUUCGCAACCUAGAUCGGACGGCUCCGGUCGGCCAACCCUGAGGUUUAUAAACUCGGGCUUAUUGCUGUCUUUGCGCACUUCCGUCUUCGAGUUCUCCGACGACACUCUGUCUCUGUGCUCGUGUGAUAUUCUUCCUUUCCUGCUCCUCUGGCGACCUUCUAGUAUACUUCCUUCUAAUCGCACCCGUCUUCGAGUUUUUUGACGUUUCUUCAUCUGUGUUCCGGCGAUAUUCUUCCAGUAGGCUUCCUUCCCCUCGCAUCUUUUCGCUCUCCUUUGUUUUUGCGAUGGUGAGUUCCUCACAGCCACUUGUCGGCGUCCCUGGGCUUUGGUACACCUCUACUGAGUUCAGGUUUGACGCCGGUGACGCUAAGAGUCUGACAGCUGCCUUUGAGUUUCCUUCUGGCUACAAAGUUGUUCUUCCUUCUCCUUCCGAUCGGCCAAACUCUCCGACGCCUAGCUGUCUUUGCUUCUUUAGGGAUCAGUUUACCACCGGUCUGCGAUUUCCUAUUCACCCCUUCUUUCCCACCGUUUGUAAAUACUUUCGUAUCUCUCUUCAUCAAUUAGUGUCGAACUCCUUUCAGCUGCUGUGCGGGGUAGUUGUUCUGUUCCGCCUGCACGACAUUCCUCUCACUCGGAUCUUUCACUAUUUUUAUUAUUUGAAAUUGUCUGAGUUGGGGACUUUUAUUUUCCAAGCCCAAGUGGAAAAGAUCAUGUUUAUGUUUGUUUUAAAAUCAUACGAAUACUCUUUUGAUUUAAUUGUUAAAUCACAAAUAAAAUUUUAAUUUUUUGCUGUGCAUAGGAGUGUAGAAAUAUGAUAUCCGAAUUUCGAAUUAUGUUCCAACACUGAGGAGGGUGAUGGUAGAGAUUAGAUAUCAUUAUUGGUAAAUUAACUUGAUUGUUUUAUAAAUAAUGGAAAAAUCCAUUCAAUAAAAAUUUAAAAUUCAAUAAAAUUUAGGAAAAGGCAAGAUGGUAACGUGCUCGUGUAAAGUGAACUCAGACCUCUUCUACAACAUCCUUAGCGAACUCAACCAACUCAGGAUCGGCCCAGCCUAACUCUAAUUCUUGGAUCCGUCCCUACUAGAAGGAAGAUAGCAUUGAAGGCACUUAUGAUACUCUCAAGGAGUGUGCAAUAAUAAGUAAAUCAGCUCGAGGAAUUGGUGUUUCUGUUCACAACAUUCGUGCAACUGGUAGUUAUAUCCGUGGAACAGAUGAAGCUAGCUAGUAUCCAAUGGCAUUGUUUCAAUGCUGAGGGUGUUGAAUGAUACUGCUCGUUAUGGUGAUCGGGGGGAGGCAACAGAAGGGUAAUUUGGUUACUCUUCAUUGACUACGAUUUCAUAGCAGCGGCCUAAAUUCAAAUCUGAAUUUGUGUUUUUUGAUUUUAAAUAUGUUAGGUGCAUUUGCUUUACAUUUAAUUUGGAACCUUGGCAUGCAGAUAUAUAUAUGAGUUCCUGGAGCUUAGAAAGAACCACGGGAAGCUUUGAAGGGAGUUCAAGCAUGGCUGGACCUAAGAGCUCAAGCUGAUUUAGUUAUGCAAAUGAUCCACACUGGAGCAGAAUCCUGUAGCUACAAGAACAUGGUACCUCAUGUCAAACAUGUAUGUGGAACAUAUGCAACCAUGGAUGAGAUUAGAUUUUGUAGUUGAAUCAAACACAAGGAUAACAGAAAUUUAUCAUGUUCAGUCCAAGAAAGAUAAAGAUGUCUUUGCUCAGUUUGUUUUGUUUGCAACCACAUAUAUGAUAAUAUUUUGUGUUAAGGUAUUUUUUUCUAAAGUGCUUCCUAUUCUUCUGUUCUUGUUCUUGGCAUGGUUGGACAAGACUAGCAUGUGUUCAAAGCAAGGUUGUAAUCAUUGAUGAGGUGCAGUGGGCUGAGACAUCUAUACAUACACAGUCCUUCAUCCUCCAUUUGCUUCAAUGUUUAAGAAUGUACCUUAAAGUUUUAUACAUAAGCUAACAAAUAAAAAUUAGGACAAACUGAUUCAAAGUCAUAAAGGAAAUAGAGAAAUUCAAUGAAAAAAAGGAUAUAAUACUUCAAAUCAAUAUGGAGAACACUUAGGAAUCUGGAUUCAUAUAUACUUACAUCGCUCAUUAUUAAGUGGCCUAAGAACCUCUCCAAUAUAUUGUCCUGAUCCCUGGAGAUACUCUAGAUCAUCUUUAGUUUUAGUGAUCUCCUUCUUUAAGGCUUUUAAAUUUCCCCUCACUUCAUUUUGUUAAGCAAUAAAAUACAAAUAGAAAAGAUCUUCAGAUGGUACAAACAACAGAUAAAUCAUUUAAUGAAAUGAUCAUAGAAAUGAGGAAGAAAACAAGCUAUUCAUAAACAUAUAGUGGGUAAGGUCAAGUAAAUAAGCAUUUUAUCAGUCGGAAGAAAAUACCAUAAUGUUGCCAAUGUUGGUCUCAUUCCUAGAAUUUAAUAAAAACAUUGAUCCAAUAAAAACAUAUCAUUUUCUCAUUUUUGAAAUAUCAUAGACAAUUUGAAAUUACAAUAAUUGCAAGACAUCAAAAAUAAAAGGCAACAAUAUCAUAAUAUAAACAAGUACUAGAAAGAGACAAGCGUGUUUUAUAUAAGUUUGUUUAUGAAUUAUUCAUAAGUUUUGUUUUUGAAUAUUAAAGAGACAAGCUCUCCAAGGUCCCAGCUUGUUUCUAUAUAUUAUUGUUGUUGUUGUUGUUGUUGUUGUUGUUGUUGUUGUUGUUGUUGUUGUUGUUGUUAUUAUUAUUAUUAUCAAAUAAAUGUACACAAGCUCUUACCAUGUUGAGUAUCAUGCUUGUUCAUGAAUAUCCUGUUCACUUCACAAAGUUUGGAGGUAAAUAUACUUUGUUUUUGAGGAAAUUAAGUCAUGUUUGAUGCUCAAAGGUCUUUGUGCAUUGGCCGAGUGGAUAUCAAAGACUACUCUGCAGAUUCAGCUGUGUUCUAAUUUCUUGUUGAACUUCUUCACAAGACUUCUAAGCUCAGGCAGGAAAUCCUAGUAAGGACAAACUUCACAGCAAUCACACCAAGAGAAAAUGUCAGCAACCACAUCAUUCCUACCUGUUUAUAUCAGAUUUAAAAAAAAAAAUCAAAAUCCUUAAUCUUGCUUACCUAUUUCUGUUAAGGUAUGGUGAUGAGGUAUAGUCCCAAUAAAUAUUUUACUUUGUAUAGUCAUAAAAAUCAAAAGGCCUUGUCCAAUUGAUAAGAAGGCUAGUGUUUCAUUGUUUUUACCAAUCUGAUGAGCUUCUUUUCAUGCACAGGAAGGUGGCAUUCUUGUAGGGUCAAAGCUUUGCCUAGUAGGUGAUUGAUCAACCUUCUUGUUAGAGGAUGGCUCCAAUCCCAAAUUUGUUGCAUCACAUUAAAUGAUGAAUUGUUGAGAAAGUUUUGGCAAACCAAUGCAUUAGAGAGAGAAUGCUUCAGCUUCUCGAAUGAUUCUUUAAAUUUCUCAAGUCUAUUUAAAAGCAUUUCUUGAUUAAUGUGGUCAAGGGAGCUGCAAGCUGCAAUUAUGGCAAAGUUUUGUAUGGAUUUGAGUAUUCCUGAGGUCCAAGAAUCUGCAAGGAUUAUAGGAAUACAGGAAUGCAGACAUUGAAAAAUGACAUUAAUCUUGCUUUCAUGCAGACUUCUGGCAACAUGAUGUUGAACUACAUUUUGCACUA